CAUCUCUAUGAGGAUUGGAUGUUAAUUAAAGUAGUGGACUGAUCCAUUGAUGAUUAAUCUAUUCUGAGGGAUG